GUCAAAGUAAAAAUAAAAAUGCAGACACAAAUCUCUAAAUGUAGUGUUUUAUUUGGGAAGAAAGAAUUGCAGUUCAGGGCAUACACGUGGUCUUCGGUAUCUCCAAAGAGCAAAGAGAAGGUUAGAGGUUUUACAUAUUGCUUUUUGAGAAAGUUCAUUGAUAUUUGUAAGGAUUUGGUGAGCUGGCAAGCUCCGAUUUUUGCGUGACAACAGUGUGAGCAAACAUUAGUUCUAGAGUUGCAGUAAGCUACUUCAGAAGCUACAGAUAAAACUGGUUUCUGGUUACAACAGGCAGUUUCAGCAGCCAGGCUUGCAGAUAAUUACAUUCUUGGAGCAAUGCUUUGUACCCAGAAUGUUUUCCCACUGGAUUCUCCACUCUGUUUUAUUUAGUUAUGAAAAGAAUUACUCAAUUUUUAUAAUCAACUUUCACACCUAAAUUACCUCCCAAAGGCACCUCCUAAUACUAUACCAUUGGGAGUUAGGAUUUCAAAUAUGAAUUUCAGGGAAACAGAAACAUUCUGUCCAUAACAUUCUGCCCAUGGCAAAGUUUAUGUUCUUUUUGCCUGCAUUUAUUCUGUAAAAAGUAAAGUAGAGGUUGCUCUUCAAAGACUUUCCUCCCUAACUAAUUAGGAAUAAAUAGUAACUUCUCUUAGAAGCAAAAUUUAUUCAAAGACCUGUGCUCCUAAAUAUUUGCCCUGGCAUGCUUAUACUGGUCCAAGCAAGCAUUAGGUCAUAGCCUGUUCCUCUUCCUUAUUUAAAAGUGUUUUUACCUUUCUCAGCAUUCCACAAGUUACUUCCUCCUUCCUUUGUUCUCCUCUACCUUUGCCUCUUUUAAAAAGUUCUAAAUUGCUAGCCAGUCGGGACAAAUACAGAAUGUGAGGUCCUGUUCCAGUCAAUGGAAACUGGAUACAGCAGUAGGGUGGAUGCGGCAGGUUAUAAAUGAUGCUGUCUCCUUUGUUUGGUGUACACUCGUGGCAAAACUGCUGAUGAGUAUACCCUUUCUGCAGGAAGUAAAAAAAAAAAAUGGCCACACUAAAUAAAUCUAUGUUCAAGUGCUAUUUUUUUAUGGCACUGGGGAACAAGCAUUUCAAACAAUUUGGUGGCAGUCUGUAUGGGGAUACAUUCUCCUCCAGGGGUGGUCUCCA
rnacentral:lncRNA from 1 species